rnacentral:sRNA from 1 species
AAUUAAAGCAGAAGUUGGAAGCUCAUAUGUAAGUAAAACUGAUAUUUCUUUUCAAAUAUGAGAAGGGAGGGGUUGUAAAAGCCUCUAAAGUUAAUCUCCUUUUCGGAUUUUGUCUAGAAAAGCAAAUAUCCUGAUGCUAAUUGAUACACCUGCUGCAAAAGUGAAAAGCAUGCUAAAGAUUCAGCCUCCCUACUACCCCCAUCCCAAACUCCUACAUCUUUCCGUUGUUAAUAUCAUUUGGAAAGUUUAAAAAAACAGAUUAACUAUCACAACUAGAUUAUAUGGGAUGUUAAACCUAUAAAAUAUUUUACUUUCUUAGGAAGCAAGGGUGGCAAGGGAAACAAUUUAACCUUUUUGGCACCUGCCGUGUGCCUGACUGUUUACAUCCUCAUGACAACCCCUGCAGUCAGGCAGAUAGUAUUCCCAUUUCACAGAUGAGGAACCAAGGGUCAGAAAGCAACUUGCCCAAGGUCCACAAAUGUUAUAUGGCAGAGACCAGUCUCCAUGCUUUUUCUACCUCUUAGGGAAAAACUCACAGAGGUCCAUGAAGAAUUACAGAAGAAACAAGAACUCAUUGAAGAUCUUCAGCCAGAUAUAAAUCAAAAUGUACAAAAGAUCAAUGAACUUGAAGCUGCUCUUCAGAAGAAAGAUGAAGAUAUGAAAGCAAUGGAGGAAAGAUAUAAAAUGUACUUGGAGAAAGCCAGAAAUGUAAUAAAAACUUUGGAUCCCAAGUUAAAUCCAGCAUCAGCUGAAAUAAUGCUACUAAGAAAGCAGUUGGCAGAGAAAGAGAGAAGAAUUGAGAUUCUGGAGAGUGAAUGCAAAGUAGCAAAAUUCCGUGAUUAUGAAGAAAAACUCAUUGUUUCUGCCUGGUAUAAUAAGAGUCUAGCAUUCCAGAAACUGGGGAUGGAAUCUAGACUUGUGAGCGGUGGUGGUGCCUGCAGUGACACUGGUGCGUGCACUCCUGCGCGGUCUUUCUUAGCACAGCAACGGCACAUCACCAACACCAGAAGAAAUCUCUCUGUUAAAGUCCCUGCUACAACAUCUGAUUAAACUGCAAAAAAAA